GUCCAGACUCCUACGGGAGGCAGCAGUGGGGAAUAUUGCACAAUGGGGGAAACCCUGAUGCAGCGACGCCGCGUGAGUGAAGAAGUCUUUCGGUAUGUAAAGCUCUAUCAGCAGGGAAGAAAAUGACGGUACCUGACUAAGAAGCCCCGGCUAACUACGUGCCAGCAGCCGCGGUAAUACGUAGGGGGCAAGCGUUAUCCGGAUUUACUGGGUGUAAAGGGAGCGUAGACGGCAGCGCAAGUCUGAAGUGAAAGCGCAUGGCUUAACCGUUGAACUGCUUUGGAAACUGUGCAGCAGGAGUGCAGGAGAGGUAAGCGGAAUUCCUAGUGUAGCGGUGUAAUGCGUAGAUAUUAGGAGGAACACCAGUGGCGAAGGCGGCUUACUGGACUGUAACUGACGUUGAGGCUCGAAAGCGUGGGGAGCAAACAGGAUUAGAUACCCCUGUA
rnacentral:rRNA from 1 species